CCUACGGGAGGCAGCAGUGGGGAAUUUUUGGCAAUGGGGGAAACCCUGACCAAGCAACGCCGCGUGGAUGAUGAAGUAUCUUGGUACGUAAAAUCCUUUCGACAGGGAAGAAACCGCAAGGUUGACGGUACCUGUAGAAGAAGCCCCGGCUAACUCCGUGCCAGCAGCCGCGGUAAUACGGGGGGGGCAAGCGUUGUUCGGAAUUACUGGGCGUAAAGGGCGCGUAGGCGGUUCGUUAAGUUGGAUGUGAAAACUGUGGGCUCAACCCAUAGCCUGCAUCCAAUACUGACAGGCUAGAGUUCUGGAGGGGAUAGCGGAAUUCCUGGUGUAGCGGUGAAAUGCGUAGAUAUCAGGAGGAACACCGGUGGCGAAGGCGGCUAUCUGGACAGAGUCUGACGCUGAGGCGCGAAAGCUAGGGGAGCAAACAGGAUUAGAUACCCUGGUAGUCCUAGCCCUAAACGAUGGAUACUUGCUGUGACUGGGAUUGAAUCCAGUCGUGCGAGACUACGCAUAGUAUACCGUCCGUCGGGUAGGUACGGUCGGCGACGGACGUAGAACGUACGAAAGGAAAGUUAGUAACGGUCGUGUUAGACGUGCGACGGACGACGACGAGGGAGGAGG
rnacentral:rRNA from 1 species